CUACUGUCCUGUAGGUUUACACUCCAACCCUGUUCCUACAGAUCUACUGUCCUGUAGGUUUACACUCCAACCCUGUUCCUACAGAUCUACUGUCCUGUAGGUUUACACUCCAACCCUGUUCCUACAGUCUACUGUCCUGUAGGUUUACACUCCAACCCUGUUCCUACAGAUCAACUGUCCUAUAGGUUUACACUCCAACCCUGUUCCUACAGAUCAACUGUCCUGUAGGUUUACACUCCAACCCUGUUCCUACAGAUCAACUGUCCUGUAGGUUUACACUCCAACCCUGUUCCUACAGAUCAACGGUCCUGUAGGUUUACACUCCAACCCUGUUCCUACAGAUCAACUGUCCUGUAGGUUUACACUCCAACCCUGUUCCUACAGAUCUACUGUCCUGUAGGUUUACACUCCAACCCUGUUCCUACAGAUCAACUGUCCUGUAGGUUUACACUCCAACCCUGUUCCUACAGAUCUACUGUCCUGUAGGUUUACACUCCAACCCUGUUCCUACAGAUCAACUGUCCUGUAGGUUUACACUCCAACCCUGUUCCUACAGAUCAACGGUCCUGUAGGUUUACACUCCAACCCUGUUCCUACAGUCUACUGUCCUGUAGGUUUACACUCCAACCCUGUUCCUACAGAUCUACUGUCCUGUAGGUUUACACUCCAACCCUGUUCCUACAGAUCUACUGUCCUGUAGGUUUACACUCCAACCCUGUUCCUACAGAUCUACUGUCCUGUAGGUUUACACUCCAACCCUGUUCCUACAGAUCUACUGUCCUGUAGGUUUUCACUCCAACCUUAACGUAACAUACAGUACCUGAUUCAGCUAGUUCAGGUCUUGGUGAGAAGGUAAUUAAUAGAAUCAGGUGUGCUAGAUUAGGGUUGGACUGAAAACCAACAGGAAGGUAAAUCUCCAGGAAGAGAGUUGGACUGAACCUAAAGGAUGGUAAAUCUCCAGGAAGAGAGUUGGACUGAAAACCAACAGGAAGGUAAAUCUCCAGGAAGAGAGUUGGACUGAAAACCAACAGGAAGGUAAAUCUCCAGGAAGAGAGUUGGACUGAACCUAAAGGAUGGUAGAUCCCCCAGGAAGAGAGUUGGACUGAACCUACAGGAUGGUAGGUCCCCAGGAAGAGAGUUGGACUGAACCUACAGGAUGGUAGGUCCCCAGGAAGAGAGUUGGACUGAACCUAAAGGAUGGUAGAUCCCCAGGAAGAGAGUUGGACUGAACCUAAAGGAUGGUAGAUCCCCAGGAAGAGAGUUGGACUGAACCUAAAGGAUGGUAGAUCCCCAGGAAGAGAGUUGGACUGAACCUAAAGGAUGGUAGAUCCCCAGGAAGAGAGUUGGACUGAAAACAUACAUGAUGGUAGAUCCCCAGGAAGAGAGUUGGACUGAAAACAUACAGGAUGGUAGAUCCCCAGGAAGAGAGUUGGACUGAAAACAUACAUGAUGGUAGAUCCCCAGGAAGAGAGUUGGACUGAAAACAUACAGGAUGGUAGAUCCCCAGGAAGAGAGUUGGACUGAAAACAUACAGGAUGGUAGAUCCCCAGGAAGAGAGUUGGACUGAACCUAAAGGAUGGUAGAUCCCCAGGAAGAGAGUUGGACUGAAAACAUGCAUGAUGGUAGAUCCCCAGGAAGAGAGUUGGACUGAACCUAAAGGAUGGUAGAUCCCCAGGAAGAGAGUUGGACUGAAAACAUACAUGAUGGUAGAUCCCCAGGAAGAGAGUUGGACUGAAAACAUACAGGAUGGUAGAUCCCCAGGAAGAGAGUUGGGCAGCCCUGGUCUAAUUUCUGCCAUCAUGCUUUCACACAUCCAGUCCUAUCAGAUCUGUGAAUGAGGACAGAGGGGAGGGAACAUCUUCCUGGGCCUGUAUCCCAACUGGCACACUAUUCCCAUAAGGCUCUGGUCUAAAGAAGUGCACUAUAUAGGGAAUAGGGCUCUGGUCGAAAGAAGUGCACUAUAUAUGGAAUAGGGCUCUGGUUAAAAUAAGUGCACUAUAUAUGGAAUAGGGUGCAAUUUGGUGUAACCCCUCUACAUUAAAUGUGAAAUGAAGGGAAACUGAAAGAAAGCGUAUGCAUGUAUUCCUAGGUAAAGAACAACAAUACAUUGAAUGUGUAAGA